rnacentral:lncRNA from 1 species
UCGCUCUGUUGCCUUGAAAAUAUUUAGGAAGUGCCAGCCAGGUGUUGGCUCCCAUUGCUGCCACUAUGAUCGUCAGUGGUGUUGGUGUGAUUUGUGCUAGGACCUCGGGCCAGCCAUGUCCCCCAGGGACUCAGUUUCCUUAUGCAGAAACUGGGCAGGAUUGGCUGUCCUCAAGCAUUGGUUGUUUUUAGCACCCCUGAGGAACUUCGUACAAAUCCAGGCGCCCUGGUUCCUC